rnacentral:rRNA from 1 species
UUAUAAUUAAAGUCUUAACCUCAAUUGAAAGUAUGGCGGUUGUUGAUCCAACCAGAGGCACAUGCCGGUAAUCGAAACUGCACGAAUAUCUUACUUUCUCUAAUAGCUUGCUAGUAUUUUGUACAUCGCUGUUUUAGGACUAAAUAUUCAAGUUUAGUCUUUCCCCAUAAGAGUUUAAAUGUGAUAGUUAGGGAAAAUAACAAGUCAAGACGCAGAGAAUGAGAAAGAUAGAGUGUGUGCCAGUAUUUAUAUCAAUUUAUUCAUUAUUUCGCUUUUUUCUGAAACUGGAAUUAAGAGGAGAGAAUUUGGUAGUAAGAACGAUUCAUCAAAUUGUUCUGAAUAGGUUAUCAGCAGUGUACACACC